rnacentral:rRNA from 1 species
UGCAGUCGAACGAUGAAGCCCUUCGGGGUGGAUUAGUGGCGAACGGGUGAGUAACACGUGGGCAAUCUGCCCUUCACUCUGGGACAAGCCCUGGAAACGGGGUCUAAUACCGGAUACCACUCCUGCCUGCAUGGGCGGGGGUUGAAAGCUCCGGCGGUGAAGGAUGAGCCCGCGGCCUAUCAGCUUGUUGGUGGGGUAAUGGCCCACCAAGGCGACGACGGGUAGCCGGCCUGAGAGGGCGACCGGCCACACUGGGACUGAGACACGGCCCAGACUCCUACGGGAGGCAGCAGUGGGGAAUAUUGCACAAUGGGCGAAAGCCUGAUGCAGCGACGCCGCGUGAGGGAUGACGGCCUUCGGGUUGUAAACCUCUUUCAGCAGGGAAGAAGCGAAAGUGACGGUACCUGCAGAAGAAGCGCCGGCUAACUACGUGCCAGCAGCCGCGGUAAUACGUAGGGCGCAAGCGUUGUCCGGAAUUAUUGGGCGUAAAGAGCUCGUAGGCGGCUUGUCACGUCGGAUGUGAAAGCCCGAGGCUUAACCUCGGGUCUGCAUUCGAUACGGGCUAGCUAGAGUGUGGUAGGGGAGAUCGGAAUUCCUGGUGUAGCGGUGAAAUGCGCAGAUAUCAGGAGGAACACCGGUGGCGAAGGCGGAUCUCUGGGCCAUUACUGACGCUGAGGAGCGAAAGCGUGGGGAGCGAACAGGAUUAGAUACCCUGGUAGUCCACGCCGUAAACGUUGGGAACUAGGUGUUGGCGACAUUCCACGUCGUCGGUGCCGCAGCUAACGCAUUAAGUUCCCCGCCUGGGGAGUACGGCCGCAAGGCUAAAACUCAAAGGAAUUGAC